UCCGAUUCGUGUACCAGGCAUUUGUUGCAUUGCACUGGUCUCUGGAGAGCGCUUUAGACAUCUAAGGUUGAACAAUGAAGUUAUACAUGGUUAGCUACCUUUGGUGUCUGUACAUAAUUGCAUUGACCAUAUCUUUUGUGGUGCCUGAAGGGGAACCCAACUCCACAGUAUCAACGACGGACCCAUCGACGAACUCAUCGACAGACACAUCGACGGAUCCAACAACGACGUACCCAUCUUGGCGUCCUGAGGAAUGCGAGGGACCCGAGGAAGACUUCCGAAUUGGCCUAUGUGAGCAACCUCUUAGAGUGGGAGUGUCUUGCGGCCGCACCGGCCAUGAAUAGUGUCACAAGAGGUGGCACUUUAACCGGAAAUUAGGAGGCUGUUUCUACUUUUGGUUUACGGGAUGUGGAGGAAAUAAUAACAGUUUUGCUACCAAGGAGGAUUGCAAAGACACCUGCUGCAAACCGAGUAGAUUUUACAAAAAGUGCAAGUGAUGAGGACAAGAAUCUUCAUAAUCUUCCUUUAAAAUGAAAUAAAUCCAAUGCACACUGCUUA